rnacentral:misc_RNA from 1 species
CCUACGAAUGAAAAAAAAAUUAAAUUUCAUAAUUAGAAGAUGGCAAUGUGUGAAACUAAGGUUAGCAGUAGAAGUUGAAGUUUUCGAUGAUUAUAAUCUUCAGUUUUUUUUUUUUAUUAUUGUUAUUGUUUUAAAAUUUUUAUCAUAUAAAUUUACGGAUUUAACUUGGCUCCAUAAUUGCAUUUAAGGCUUUUCAGUACUUGUUCAUCAUAUUUCCUAUGGAAACAACUGUGUCAGAAGACAUGUCUACACAACCACAGGAACCUCCUGGCUAUCAAACACAUUUAACAUCUUUGUAUGAGUCUGUUCUUAAGGCAAGAGAAAAAAAACCAGAUUAUAUUCAAGAAUGUGAUAUUUGUGUUAAAAAUUUUGAAAAGUGGACAGAACAGGACCAAAUAGAAUUUGUUGAAUUAUUAUUGUCUAAAAUGACACAUUAUCAACAUAGUCAUGUUAGUUCUUUCUUACGGCCAAUGUUACAAAGAGAUUUUAUUAGCUUUCUACCUGAAAAAGGUCUAGAUCAUGUUGCAGAAAAUAUACUUUCCUAUCUCGAUGCUAAGUCAUUAUGUGCUGCUGAGCUUGUUUCUAAAGAAUGGUACCGAGUGGUAUCUGAAGGUAUGCUUUGGAAGAAAUUGAUUGAGCGUAGAGUUCAAACAGAUUCGUUAUGGAAAGGUUUAGCUGAAAGACGUGAAUGGAUAAAGUAUUUAUUCAAACCUGCUCCUGGUGAACUGCAUCCUGAUCAAUUGUUUUAUAGACGCUUAUUUCCAAAAAUAAUUCAAGAUAUUGAGAGCAUAGAAACUAACUGGAGAUGUGGAAGGCAUAAUUUACAAAGGAUAAACUGCCGUAGUGAAAAUAGUAAAGGUGUCUACUGCUUACAAUAUGAUGAUCAGAAAAUUGUCAGUGGUCUUCGUGAUAAUACUAUAAAAGUUUGGGAUCGUAGUACUUUACAAUGUGUUCAAGUAUUAACUGGACAUACUGGCUCUGUUUUAUGCCUCCAAUAUGAUGAACAAGUCAUUAUUAGUGGUUCUAGUGAUUCUACUGUUAGAGUUUGGGAUGUGUCAUCUGGUCAAAUAUUAAACACUUUGAUUCAUCACUGUGAAGCUGUACUUCAUCUCCGUUUCAAUAAUGGGCUAAUGGUGACAUGUUCCAAGGAUAGAUCUAUUGCUGUCUGGGAUAUGGUUUCUGCAUCAGAAAUAAACUUAAGAAGGGUUUUAGUGGGACAUCGUGCUGCAGUAAAUGUUGUUGAUUUUGAUGAAAAGUACAUUGUUUCUGCAUCUGGAGAUCGUACUAUUAAAGUAUGGAAUACUUCUUCUUGCGAAUUUGUUCGAACUUUAAAUGGCCAUAAACGAGGUAUAGCAUGUUUGCAGUAUCGUGAUAGACUAGUUGUCAGUGGGAGUUCUGAUAACACAAUUAGGUUAUGGGAUAUUGAAUGUGGUGCGUGCUUAAGAACUCUAGAAGGUCAUGAAGAACUAGUGCGGUGCAUACGUUUCGAUAAUAAACGUAUUGUUAGUGGAGCUUAUGAUGGAAAAAUACCUGCUGGAAAAACUAAAUUUCAGCUCUCAUGGCUUGAAGUUCUCGACGAAAAUGGGGAUUUAUUAAGUAAUUGGUGUCAAGAAGAAAAAUAAAAGUUUGGGACUUAGCUGCUGCUUUGGAUCCUAGAGCACCUGCGGGAACUUUAUGCUUAAGAACAUUAGUUGAGCAUUCUGGUCGUGUUUUUAGAUUACAAUUUGAUGAGUUUCAAAUUGUUAGCAGUUCUCACGAUGAUACUAUACUAAUAUGGGACUUUCUAAAUUUUACAACCUCUGAGGCAUCUACAAGAUCGCCUUCUCGCACAUACACCUAUGUCUCAAAGUGAAUAAGUGAUCUUGUUGUGAUUUAUGUCAUUCAUGUGUCAAUUUUCAUCACAUUUGGACUAAGUUUUGUACAUAAUGCUGUGCAUUUUGGGCUUCUAUUCAUUCCAAAUUGUAAAUCUAUCAAGUUUUUAUUUAAAGUUCCUUGUUUUCAAGUUGAGGUGAAAUACUGCAGUCUUUCAGAAAGAGGACAUUGUGAUUGACUUAAUGGUUAGCUCAACGGUGCUAUUAUAUUUUUUAAAACUAAUAAAGUAACAUACUCGAUUGAAGGCAGAACUCAUUAUUUAUUUUAUUUGUAUUAGUAGCAAAUCUGAAGAGAGAAUUUUGAAUGAAAAUAUGUUUGAUUUGUGCAAGAAAAAUUUGUCUUCUUCAAAACCUUUAUAGAUUUCAUUCAAAAUAAAGAUAUCUGCCAUUAA